rnacentral:lncRNA from 1 species
GAAGGCGCGAUGUGAGCUCCGGUGGGAACAGCAGCCCUUUGUCUCGUAACGGUGCCGUCCAGACUGGCCAUGAGACCAGCGAGUUUGCUGUAGAAACAGCCAUUUGGGAGUGGCUGCGUCACGCUUCUGCCAGGCACAGAACUGCCAUUGCCAAGGACUGUGCCACUGAACAGCCCGGAUAUGUGUGACAUGGUUCCCUCGGCCUGUUGUACCUUUACCUAUCACCCGCGGCAUCUAGCUGCCAGUGUGAUCUUGCUUUCUUCAGCGCUGUGCCACUGAACAGCCCGGACACGUCUGACAUGGUCUCCUAGGCCUGCUGUACUUUCACCCAUCACCCGUGGCGUCUAGAUCCAGUGUGCCGAGUUGUCCAAUACUGCCAAGUGCUUUAUGAUGUCACCAAUGUGCCAAAUGCUCUAGUACUGUUAUGUGCUCCGCCACUCUGCCAUGCCCUCUCCACAUCUCCAGUAUAUAAAGUGUCCCAUGGCGUCUGCAUUUGCGAACUGCAUUACCAAGUCUCCAAGUGCUCCAGUACUGUGUUAUAUGCUCCGCUGCUGUGCCGAGUGCUCUCCGUUUAUGCAGUAUACCGAGUGCCCAUUGCGUCUCCGCAUUUUACCAAGUGCUCCGAUAUUGUCAAAUGCUUGACCACGUCUGGAAUGUGCCAUGUGCUCCACUGCUGUGCCAAGUGUAUACUUUGUAAAUGAUAUACAUGUCUUCAGUUCAUCCAAUACCUCUAUUGCAUAACUUAUCCAUACAGUUGGUCUUCACAUAGACUUCUAUGUCAUUAUGUACACAUAUUGUAGAG